UACGAAGGGGGCUAGCGUUGCUCGGAAUCACUGGGCGUAAAGGGUGCGUAGGCGGGUCUUUAAGUCAGGGGUGAAAUCCUGGAGCUCAACUCCAGAACUGCCUUUGAUACUGAAGAUCUUGAGUUCGGGAGAGGUGAGUGGAACUGCGAGUGUAGAGGUGAAAUUCGUAGAUAUUCGGCGGAACACCAGUGGCGAAGGCGACUCACUGGCCCGAUACUGACGCUGAGGCGCGAAAGCGUGGGGAGCAAACAGGG
rnacentral:rRNA from 1 species